AUGGAGGCAGCAGCAGCAGCAGCCGUGGCGCUCAGGUCGCCCGCCGCCGCCGGAGCCGCGCCCUCGCGCCGGGCCGCCGCCGCCAGCUCGCUCCCCUUCGAGCGGAGGCGCAGCUUCGCCCUCGGCUCCAUCAAGGGCCUCGGGCGGCGGCAGCUCACUUCCAGAAGGCUGCGCAGCGUGGUCAGGGCAUCCUCCUCGUCCCCGUCGGAGUCUCUGCCAUCUUCUUCGCCGAUCGCGCCGCUGCAAAUGGAGUCGCCGAUAGGGCAGUUCCUCUCACAGAUUUUGGUCACGCACCCGCACCUGCUCCCGGCCGCCGCCGAGCAGCAGCUCGAGCAGCUCCAGACCGUCCAAGAUUCUUCAGAAAAGAAGGACGCGCAGGCACCGCCGGCGGCCGGCGAUAUCGUGCUGUACAGGCGAAUUGCCGAGGUUAAGGAGAAGGAAAGGAAAAGGACCAUGGAGGAGAUACUGUAUGCGCUGGUUGUUCAGAAGUUUGUUGAAGCUGGCGUCUCUUUGGUCCCAGCUCUCUCUCACUCCAUUGAUGCUUCUUCUGGUAGAGUUGAUCAGUGGGCAGAGCAUGUGGAAGGGAAGCUUGAGCGUUUGCACUCACACGAGGCAUAUGAAAUGAUCGAGAACCACUUGAAUCUCAUAUUGGGGCAGCGGCAAGCUGAUGGCACUGUCGCAGCCAUAAGUAAGCUCCGAGUUGGUCAGGUCUACGCUGCAUCAGUGAUGUAUGGCUACUUCCUCAAGAGAGUUGAUAAGAGGUUUCAGCUCGAGAAGUCGAUGAAGAGCCUCCCUUGGGGAUCAGAAGACGACGCGCUCAAUCAAGUUAUGACGACCGACUCACAGCCCUCAGAUCAGACCUACAGUUCCCAUCCAGAGGUGGAGUCGUGGACUUCCCCCGACCUCAGCGCAGGAGGUCUCGGCCAGUCUGUCAAGCCUUCCCGUCUUCGAUCGUACGUCAUGUCGUUUGAUUCAGACACGUUACAAACUUACGCGACAAUCCGGUCGAAGGUGGCGUUUGGCAUCAUCGAGAAGCACACGGAGGCGCUAUUCGGGAAGCCGGAGAUCGUGAUCACCCCGGAAGGAACGGUCGAUUCUUCCAAGGAUGAGUAUGUCAGGAUAAGCUUCUCCGGGUUGAGAAGGCUCAUCUUAGAGGCUGUCACCUUCGGAUCCUUCCUCUGGGACGUCGAGAGCUAUGUGGACUCCAGGUACCAUUUUGUCACCAACUAA
rnacentral:rRNA from 1 species